GCCUGAAUAGCUCAGUUGGUUAGAGUGUGGUGCUGAUGACGCCAAGGUUGCAGGUUCGAUCCCUGUAUGGGGCA
rnacentral:tRNA from 1 species